GCUUUUGGUUCAGUGGUAAAAUGCUCACCUGCCACGCGGGCGCCCCGAGUUCGAUUCCGGCCCGAUGCA